rnacentral:misc_RNA from 1 species
AUAAAAAGGAACCUCUAAAAUUGGAAUAGCUGACCCAAAGGGCAAGACUCCAUUAACUCAUUUUCCAGGAAAAUAAUGUGGAGAGAGAAAAGAAAAUAAGAAAAAAAAUAUAAUUCUAGAGAGAGAAAAGAACAGAAAAACUUACCCUUAUUUUUGUUAUAUUUAGUGAUUAAAAAAAAAUAUAGAGAGAGAGAAAAUAAAAAAUAACUAAAAAUAUAUAUAGAGACAGAGGAGGGACAGACAAUUUAAGCAGAGAAAGCAAGAAGAUGAUUACGUUCAUGGAUUAUCUUAAGCUGAGCAUUUGAUGAUUUCUCUUCGGAUCAUAGAGAGCGUGG